AUUGAACGCUGGCGGCAGGCCUAACACAUGCAAGUCGAACGGUAGCACAGAGAGCUUGCUCUCGGGUGACGAGUGGCGGACGGGUGAGUAAUGUCUGGGAAACUGCCUGAUGGAGGGGAAUAACUACUGGAAACGGUAGCUAAUACCGCAUAACGUCGCAAGACCAAAGAGGGGGACCUUCGGGCCUCUUGCCAUCGGAUGUGCCCAGAUGGGAUUAGCUUGUUGGUGAGGUAAAGGCUCACCAAGGCGACGAUCCCUAGCUGGUCUGAGAGGAUGACCAGCCACACUGGAACUGAGACACGGUCCAGACUCCUACGGGAGGCAGCAGUGGGGAAUAUUGCACAAUGGGCGCAAGCCUGAUGCAGCCAUGCCGCGUGUGUGAAGAAGGCCUUCGGGUUGUAAAGCACUUUCAGCGGGGGGGAAGGCGGUGAGUUUAAUAAGCUCACCGAUUGACGUUACCCGCAGAAGAAGCACCGGCUAACUCCGUGCCAGCAGCCGCCGUAA
rnacentral:rRNA from 1 species